UACGGAGGGGGCUAGCGUUGUUCGGAAUUACUGGGCGUAAAGCGCACGUAGGCGGAUUGGUAAGUCGGGGGUGAAAUCCCGGGGCUCAACCCCGGAACUGCCUCCGAUACUGCCAGUCUUGAGGCCGGAAGAGGUGAGUGGAAUUGCUAGUGUAGAGGUGAAAUUCGUAGAUAUUAGGAAGAACACCAGUGGCGAAGGCGGCUCACUGGUCCGGUUCUGACGCUGAGGUGCGAAAGCGUGGGGAGCAAACAGG
rnacentral:rRNA from 1 species